GACGAACGCUGGCGGCGUGCCUAAUACAUGCAAGUCGAGCGGACAGAAGGGAGCUUGCUCCCGGAAGUUAGCGGCGGACGGGUGAGUAACACGUGGGCAACCUACCCUGUAGAUCGGGAUAACAUCGAGAAAUCGGUGCUAAUACCGGAUAAUCAUUUGAAGUGCAUGCUUCGAAUGUAAAAGAUGGCUCCGGCUAUCACUACGGGAUGGGCCCGCGGCGCAUUAGCUAGUUGGUACGGUAAUGGCUUACCAAGGCAACGAUGCGUAGCCGACCUGAGAGGGUGAUCGGGCACACUGGGACUGAGACACGGCCCGGACGCCUACGGGAGGCAGCAGUAGGGAAUCUUCCGCAAUGGACGAAAGUCUGACGGAGCAACGCCGCGUGAGUGAUGAAGGUUUUCGGAUCGUAAAGCUCUGUUGUUAGGGAAGAACAAGUGCCGUUUGAAUAAGGCGGCACCUUGACGGUACCUACCCAGAAAGCCACGGCUAACUACGUGCCAGCCGCCGCGGUAAAAC
rnacentral:rRNA from 1 species